rnacentral:rRNA from 1 species
AGUAACGGCGAGUGAACAGGGAAAAGCCCAAAUUUGUAAUCUGGCACUUUUUACAAGUGUCCGAGUUGUAAUUUGUAGAGCUGUUAUCCGUACUGGACCAUGUACAAGUCUGUUGAAAAGCAGCAUCAUUGAAGGUGAAAAUCCUGUAGAUGAUAUGGACUACCAGUAUAUUUGUGAUACGGUUUCUAAGAGUCGAGUUGUUUGGGAAUGCAGCUCAAAGUGGGUGGUAAAUUCCAUCUAAGGCUAAAUAUAAGUGAGAGACCGAUAGCAAACAAGUACCGUGAGGGAAAGAUGAAAAGAACUUUGAAAAUAGAGUUAACAGUACGUGAAAUUGCUGAAAGGGAAACGUUUGAAGUUAGUUUUGUAUUCGUUGGAUCAGCUUCGCAAGGAGUGUAUUCUGAUGAUAAGCAAGUCAACAUCAGUCUAUGAGUGUUGGAUAAGGGUUUUGAGAAUGUAGCAAUUUAAUUGUGUUAUAGCUUGAGACUUGGAUACAAUGCUUUGGAUUGAGGAACGCGUAGUAAGCUUUGAGCGGAUUCGAAAGGAUCUCCUUACUAUGGAUGUUGGUGAAAUAACUUUAAAGCGACCCAUCUU